rnacentral:rRNA from 1 species
AUUGAACGCUGGCGGCAGGCCUAACACAUGCAAGUCGAACGAGUGGCGGACGGGUGAGUAAUGUCUGGGAAACUGCCCGAUGGAGGGGGGUAACUACUGGAAACGGUAGCUAAUACCGCAUACCAUCGGAUGUGCCCAGAUGGGAUUAGCUAGUAGGUGGGGUAACGGCUCACCUAGGCGACGAUCCCUAGCUGGUCUGAGAGGAUGACCAGCCAAACUGGAACUGAGACAGGUUCCGGACUCCUACGGGAGGCAGCAGUGGGGAAUAUUGCACAAUGGGCGCAAGCCUGAUGCAGCCAGGCGGGGUGUAUGAAGAGGGCCUUCGGGUUGUAAAGUACUUUCAGCGAGGAGGGGUUACUCGCAGAAGAAGCACCGGCUAACUCCGUGCCAGCAGCCGCGGUAAUC